rnacentral:rRNA from 1 species
AACGCGAAGAACCUUACCUGGGUUUGACAUACACCAGAUCGCCGCAGAGAUGCGGCUUCCCUUGUGGUCGGUGUACAGGUGGUGCAUGGCUGUCGACAGCUCGUGUCGUGAGAUGUUGGGUUAAGUCCCGCAACGAGCGCAACCCUUGUCUUAUGUUGCCAGCACGUAAUGGUGGGGACUCGUAAGAGACUGCCGGGGUCAAUUCGGAGGAAGGUGGGGACGACGUCAAGUCAUCAUGCCCCUUAUGUCCAGGGCUUCACACAUGCUACAAUGGUCGGUACAGAGGGCUGCGAGACCGUGAGGUUAAGCGAAUCCCUUAAAGCCGGCCUCAGUUCGGAUUGGGGUCUGCAACUCGACCACAUGAAGUCGGAGUCGCUAGUAAUCGCAGAUCAGCAACGCUGCGGUGAAUACGUUCCCGGGCCUUGUACACACCG